rnacentral:rRNA from 1 species
GUAGGGGGCAAGCGUUGUCCGGAAUUAUUGGGCGUAAAGAGCGUGUAGGCGGUCCGGUAAGUCAGCUGUGAAAGUCAAGGGCUCAACCCUUGAAUGCCGGUUGAUACUGUCGGGCUAGAGUCCGGAAGAGGCGAGUGGAAUUCCCGGUGUAGCGGUGAAAUGCGCAGAUAUCGGGAGGAACACCAAUGGCGAAGGCAGCUCGCUGGGACGGUACUGACGCUGAGACGCGAAAGCGUGGGGAGCAAACAGGAUUAGAUACCCUGGUAGUCCACGCCGUAAACGAUGGGCACUAGGUGUUGGGGGUGUCGACUCCCCCGGCGCCGUAGCUAACGCAUUAAGUGCCCCGCCUGGGGAGUACGGCCGCAAGGCUA